AUUGAACGCUGGCGGCAGGCCUAACACAUGCAAGUCGAGCGGAUGAAGGUAGCUUGCUCCUGGAUUCAGCGGCGGACGCGUGUGUAAAGCCUAGGAAUCUGCUUGGCAUUGGUGGAUGAUGUCCGCAAGCGAGCGCUACUACCACCUACGUCCUGAGCGAGAAAGUGGGGGAUCUUCGGACCUCACGCUAUCAGAUGAGUCUAGGUCGGGUUUGCUAGUUGGUGGGGUAAAGGCCUACCAAGGCGGCGAUCCGCGACUGGUCUGAGAGGCUGAUCGGUCACACUGGAGCUGAGACGCGCACCAGACUCCUAAGGUAGGCAGCAGUGGGGAAUGUGGGGCAAUAGUCGAGAGCCUUACCCAGCCAGGCCGCGUGUGUGGAGAAGGUCUUCGGAUCGUAAAGCCCGUUUAGUGGGGGUAAACGGCAGUAGCUUGAUACGUUGCUGUAUUGACGUUACCAGCAAAAUAAGCACCGGCUAACUACGUG
rnacentral:rRNA from 1 species